rnacentral:rRNA from 1 species
UACGAAGGGUGCAAGCGUUACUUGGAAUUACUGGGCGUAAAGCGUGCGUAGGUGGUUCGUUAAGUCUGAUGUGAAAGCCCUGGGCUCAACCUGGGAACUGCAUUGGAUACUGGCGAUCUGGAGUGCGGUAGAGGGUGGCGGAAUUCCCGGUGUAGCAGUGAAAUGCGUAGAUAUCGGGAGGAACAUCCGUGGCGAAGGCGGCCACCUGGACCAGCACUGACACUGAGGCACGAAAGCGUGGGGAGCAAACAGG